UUUUUGGCAAGGUAUAGAAUUCUAAUGUCUGUUUUAUUAUUUCUUUUAUGAUAAAAAUAAUAUUGGAAAAUAUAUGGGGGAGAGGUUAUAUGACUGUCAAACAGACAGAUGCACAAAUAGUUUACUCAAAGUAGCCCUCAAUUUUAAUUUAUUUAAUUUAUUUAUUGUCACCAAAAAAUGCCACAAAACCCCCACAUUUUCUCUUUUUAAGGUACAAAAUCUGAGUGUGACCACUCUUAUGAAAAUUCUGGUUUUGCCUGAGGAAAGGAGGGUGUCUGUGUUGUGUCGUGAUCCAUUGGGGAACUAUGGAUGACAGGUACUGGCAGCUGAACUUCCACAGUGUAAACCAUGAAGAAUAUGCAUCAACCUUGACUUGCAGCACCACUUCAAAAGACCAAGAAACUGCUGCAGAGGGACCUGAGAGCCAGAUGUAGAGGCCAACACAGCCUAUAAUGCUUUCGGAUAAUAACCAGAUUAUAGCUCCACAAUUCCAACAAAGAAACACAAGCAGUAUGGAUGUACAAUUUUGCCACAGAGCGUUUGCAGGAGAAAUGAUGCUGGUUGCUUAAAGAGCCUACUGGUUAUGAACUCCAGACCUUGCAGAGGUGAGUAGUUAACCUUGUGUUAAUGGACCAGACCUAUCACCUCCUAAGGCAUGAGAAGUAAAUGAAAAUGUAGCUAAUGAGUUCGUUACUGCGUCUGUGAGCAGGUCAAUGUGAAAAACAGCAAGGAUGGUAGAAUAUGCUGCAGUGACAAAGUAUGGA